UGGAAAAGCCUCUUUCCAUGGUAGCAC
rnacentral:piRNA from 1 species